UGCGUAGGCGGUGCAGCAAGUCGGGUGUGAAAUCCCUUAGCUCAACUGAGGAACGGCGCCCGAAACUGCUGUGCUCGAGGAAGAUAGAGGUACGCGGAACUUAGGGUGGAGCGGUGAAAUGCGUUGAUAUCCUAAGGAACACCGGUGGCGAAAGCGGCGUACUGGGUCUUUUCUGACGCUGAGGCACGAAAGCUAGGGUAGCGAACG
rnacentral:rRNA from 1 species